CGCCUGUUUAUCAAAAACAUAGUCUAAAGACCUCAUUUCAAACAGGACCUGCUCACUGAGCUAUUAAAGAGCCUCAGUUUACUGGCUGUGUGAAGUUAGCAAAAUAAUUUGUCUCUUAAUUAGAGACUAGAAUGAAUGGUCUGACGAGGAAAAAUCUAUCUCAAAAUUUUACUUAAAAUUAACUUGUAAGUCAAAAGGCUUAAAUACAUCAGCAAGACGACACGACCCUAUAAAACUUUACCCUUUAAUAUAUUAACCUCAGAAACAUCAUAAUAAGGGUUUAACUGGGGCGGUAUUUAUAUAAUUUCCAACUAUACAAACUCCACCAUAUGUUAAUGAACCAACGGAUCUUACAGGAAACGAAAGAGAGAGUUACUUUAGGGAUAACAACAUAAUACUCUUAAAGAGUCUUUAUCGACAAGUGAUUACGACCUCGAUGUUGAAUUGGGAAACCAUCUAAAAGCAGCCAUUUUGAGAAAAAGUCCGUUCGAUUUUUAAACCCUCACAUGAUCUGAGUUCAAACCGGAG
rnacentral:rRNA from 1 species